ensembl:lncRNA
CCUAUUCAGAAUCUGACUUAUAAGAUCUUCAACAAAAAAGAUAUUUUCCAUUUUUUUCUCAAUAUCCUCUGAAAGCUGCUGACAGCUUUACAUGGAACCAUCUCAUCUCUCUUUGCUCCAGGACACUAUUACUAUACAAAAGAAGAGGACAUGCUGUAAAGGAAGGAAUGAUUAACAUAAGAACAACACUGCUUCAUGUUGCACCUUUCUCUUAGGACUGCAAAAUUUCUUAGCAAAUAUUUAUGAAUAUUCAUUUAUCAUAAUCAUUCUCUCCAAUCUAUGCAAUUCUGGGGAAGCUUUUGCUCAAAAAUAUCUCAAGAUGCCUCCAAACUCAGAGUUUGAAGGGCUGAUAUGGCAAGAGAUUUCUCUCAUCAAGAGAUAUGCCUCAUCUAACCAUUGCACUGAAAGUAUACAGAGAUUUGUAUUGAAGGCAUCUUUUACCCAAACUUGACAUCUUAGACUAUCUUCAGAAUCAGUGGAUGCUUCCAGAGAAAAAUUCAUACUGUGGCCAUCUUAGGAGUAGGUGAAGUUUGAGACAGUAUGACAUGGGAUAUGACAGCAUCGUCCCAUUUGAGGACAGCAAAAUCUCAAAUAACUACACUGAAGGCUGAGUCUACAUGACAUUUUGUCUUGAACAGAUACCAUCAGAAAUUCUACAGUCUAGAUCUGUCAGAUACAGUCUAAAGAUACUGGUCUAGUGUCAUAUCCAAACACUACAUGUUGAUGAAUCAUGGAAAAUUGGGCCUGCUAGGAAAAAAAAAAAAAAAAAAAAAUCAAGUCAAAAUAGAAGGGAUCUAGAUCUGGAAUUGACAUUUCAGUACAACUAUGCAUCACACUUUAUUUUCUGAGCAGACCACAGCAAUGCCAUCUACAGGCACUAGCUAGAACCCACAUCAUGGAUAUACUCUGCUAGAUCUUUACUGUUAAAGAAUAUGCUUUUCCCUAUGCUUCUGCAUGACAGUACUACAAUUUUACAGCAGUAAUAACCAAUGGAUUUCCACUGCCCUUAUUUUCUGGGUAACAUAUUCAAGCAGUGGUGGAGAAUGUCAAAAUACAUGGGUGAUUAUAGUUAAAGUAUUUAAAAA